CAAUAAUAUAUACAAUAUGUAUAUAUGAUUACAUGCUGCCUGAUCAUAUUAAUGUUAGGGACUACUCACAGUAGUUAUCAGUAAUAAUUUACCAUGGCAGAUAUGGUUAAUUGCUAUAUUGUGAUCAGAAGUUCUUGGUUCAGAGUUUUAAGUUUGAUUCCCUUUUGGAGAUUUUCUGUGUGAUUCUAAAUUUCCCACCAGUGACUGAGAGCCUGGAUUGGUGCUGCAGCUGCACGGCUGGACGAACUGAGUACCUUGAGAUUUUCCUUUGAAUAAAAAAAGAAUAGAAUAGUUCUUGUUUUAUUAUCUAACCCUCUUUACUAUUAACAAAAUUGUGGAGAAAAAAAGAUAUUUUGUGUCCAAAGAUAUUGUACACACAGCUGUGUAGAGUCUGUGGGGGUGAGGUGGGGCACAAAGCCUAAAUCUGAUUGGUCAGUUUGCUUUUGUUUAUUUCACGGGUUGGCGUUUUUCUGUAAGCUAAACAUGAAUGAGUGGAGUUUGAACCUCCCGUAGUUCUAAGAUCCCGCCUGAGCUUCUUACAGUGUGCGGUUCUGGCGGGUCGCCGGUUUAUUUGCUUUUUUGAGGUUUCGCCAACUGAAUAACUGACGGGUCACCCGCUGGCCGACACCAGCAGAUG